rnacentral:rRNA from 1 species
GACGAACGCUGGCGGCGUGCCUAAUACAUGCAAGUCGACCUUAGUGGCGAACGGGUGAGUAACACGUGGGUAACCUGCCCCUCAGCAGGGGAUGACACAUGACAACAGGUGCCAAUACCGUAUACUGAUGGAUGGACCCGCGGUGCAUUAGCAAGUUGGUGAGGUAACGGCUCACAAAGGCCACGAUGGAUAGCCGACCUGAGAGGGUGAUCGGCCACAUUGGAACUGAGACACGGCCCAAACUCCGACGGGAGGCAGCAGUAGGGAAUAUUCGGCAAUGGACGAAAGUCUGACCGAGCAACGCCGCGUGAGUGAAGAAGGUUUUCGGAUCGUAAAACUCUGGUGUUAGAGAAGCGGUAUCUAACCAGAAAGCCACGGCUAACUACGUGCCAGCAGCCGCGGUAAUUC